UCCAAUCAUAGCUAAUAUGGAAAUGUGUUUUACAUGACUUGACAUACAUAAUUGAUAUCAUAUUGCUUGUCUUCUUAAUGGAUGGGGAAGAAUGUGAAGGAAGAAAAGAAUUUGAGAAAAAAAUAAUGAAUGUAAUUUAAAAAAGAAAGAAAGAAAAAGAAAAGUGAAAUGAUACCCCCAGCUAUAAAGAGAAAUACCCCAUGAAUGUUCCAGCUAUGAUGGAGAGAGUUCAAAAGUUUACCUCCAAGCAAAUCAAUUUCCAUGGUUGGAAAGAACGUCUUAGAAUUGGAGGACAUUCCAACUUCAUACCAGAAACCUGAAAACUGAAAGGAAUCACUCAUGUGGAAGAAGCCUAUUUGUUUAACCUGGAAAAUUCAGGGAAGACAACUCUGCAGUUCACAGGCAAAAUCCUCUUCAAGGUCUUCCAGGAGAGCAGACAAGGUCAUUCCAGGAGAGCAGACACUGAGAAGACAACCUGUUGGGCAAUGAAUCUUCCCAUAUCCCCAGGCUCAGGAUCCCAUGUGACCCUUUGUCACAUGCUACUGUCAAUCAUUCCCUGAGGUUUGCAUUUCUCAGUUUUUGCAACAGUUUUGCAAACUGCAAACCUUUCCAUCCUUUAUCGCAUUCCCCUCUUUUGCACGAUUAAAAAAAUCAUGUUGGAAACACUAUUUUUGAAUUUGUACACAAUCUAAAAUACUUACCAUUUACCUAAACUAAGAAAUCUACCCAAAAUAACAAACAACCUACACUUAACUAUCUUACUCUAACACUAAUGUAUUCUAAGGAAUUGUAACAAGGAAAAAGAAAAAGGAAAACAAAGUAAAUAAUGAAAAGUACAAAGCCAAACAGAAGCAAAAUCAAAACAGCAAAUAACAUCAAACAAAAGAUGAACAUAACUUCCAUGUGUAAAUCUUGAAAUCUCUCAGACUUGUGAAUGUUAAAAAAUUUCCAUAUUGAGGAAUCCUCCAUUGGAACAAAUUCCCUACUGGAAAACAUUCCCCAUUUUGAUGUGAGAACUCGCCAGGAUCAGAAAUGGGAGGACCUCUACUCCACCCAUACUUAAGACUGCUUUAGGGGAGAAAACUCCUUGCUAUGGGAGGACCUCUACUCCACCCAUACUUAAGACUGCUUUAGGGGAGAAAACUCCUUGCUAAACAAUGAAAGUACUUGGACCCAUGCUUAUAAUAAGGCAAGAAGUUCUUUGAGCCAUGCCUGUUUUUUAGAAUUGAUACAAUGGGAUGCUAGGUACCUAAAGGGGUCCGGCAAGUUUUCUCUUAAUGAGAUUAGUCAACUCAGCUGUGUUUUCUCUGGUUCAGACUUACUGAGGAGAUUAGUCGACUUAGCCAGAAUUCAUAUGGGCUGUCCUUUGAGAAAACGUCUAUGGUGAUUGGUAGAUGUAAGAACUUAGGGGAGGUGACAUAGGAAAAAAAACCCUAUAUAAGAAAAGGAAUCUCUUGAGCAAGGGAUCCUUGGAGGAUUGGAUGCUUGG
rnacentral:lncRNA from 1 species